AAGUCUGGAGACAGGUGCUGCAUGGCUGUCGUCAGCUCGUGUCGUGAGAUGUUGGGUUAAGUCCCGCAACGAGCGCAACCCUUGCCUUUAGUUGCCAGCAGUUCGGCUGGGCACUCUAAAGGGACUGCCGGUGUUAAACCGGAGGAAGGUGGGGAUGACGUCAAGUCCUCAUGGCCUUUAUGACCAGGGCUACACACGUACUACAAUGGCCGAUACAAAGGGCAGCGACACUGCGAGGUGAAGCCAAUCCCGUAAAAUCGGUCUCAGUCCGGAUUGGAGUCUGCAACUCGACUCCAUGAAGUUGGAAUCGCUAGUAAUCGUGGAUCAGCAUGCCACGGUGAAUACGUUCCCGGGCCUU
rnacentral:rRNA from 1 species